rnacentral:rRNA from 1 species
CAGUAGCCACGGUAAUACGUAGGGUGCGAGCGUUAAUCGGAAUUAUUGGGCGUAAAGGGAGCGCAGGCGGACAUAUAAGUCCAUCUUAAAAGUGCGGGGCUCAACCCCGUGAGGGGAUGGAAACUGUAUGCCUUGAGUGCAGGAGAGGAAAGCGGAAUUCCCAGUGUAGCGGUGAAAUGCGUAGAUAUUGGGAGGAACACCAGUGGCGAAGGCGGCUUUCUGGACUGUAACUGACGCUGAGGCUCGAAAGCCAGGGGAGCGAACGGGAUUAGAUACCCCUGUAGUCCCUGUCUCUUAUACA